UACGUAGGGUGCGAGCGUUGUCCGGAAUUAUUGGGCGUAAAGAGCUCGUAGGCGGCUUGUCGCGUCGUUCGUGAAAACCUGCAGCUCAACUGCAGGCUUGCGGUCGAUACGGGCAGGCUAGAGUUCGGUAGGGGAGACUGGAAUUCCUGGUGUAGCGGUGAAAUGCGCAGAUAUCAGGAAGAACACCCGUGGCGAAGGCGGCUCUCUGGGACGGUACUGGACGCUGAGACGCGAAAGCGUGGGGAGCGAACAGG
rnacentral:rRNA from 1 species